rnacentral:lncRNA from 1 species
CUUGCUAAUAUAAAUGCUUGUAUAAACCAUGAAAUUAAUUCUUAUCGGUCCUUCCAAUUUUGUUGCCCUCGUAAUCUGCAGAGAAAAGCUUCGAACUUGAUCCAUGUUCUAAUUUCCUUGCUGUGAGAGGACUAAAAAAAUAGGAUUUGCAGUUGGUUAAUUUUUUUUUGUAAGGUAGGAUUCACAUUUAUAGGAAAAUAGGAUUCACAUUUUUUUUUUCAGACAAUUAAUAAAGUAAAACAACUAGGGUUUUUCCCGCCCUUUUGGCGCAAGAUUCACAUUUUUGGCGCCAUUUUGGAAAUUAAGGCAGCAAAUUUAUACUAGUAUUAUAUUAUUUAAUUUAAUUAAUUAAUUUAAUUUAAUUUAAUACCUUCACCCUUUUUCGGUCCAGUCAACAAGUCAACUAUUAUUACUACUAUUACUCCCUCCGUCCCGCCCAAGA